GACGAACGCUGGCGGCGUGCUUAACACAUGCAAGUCGAACGGAAAGGCCCUGCUUUUGUGGGGUGCUCGAGUGGCGAACGGGUGAGUAACACGUGAGUAACCUGCCCUUGACUUUGGGAUAACUUCAGGAAACUGGGGCUAAUACCGGAUAGGAGCUCCUGCUGCAUGGUGGGGGUUGGAAAGUUUCGGCGGUUGGGGAUGGACUCGCGGCUUAUCAGCUUGUUGGUGGGGUAGUGGCUUACCAAGGCUUUGACGGGUAGCCGGCCUGAGAGGGUGACCGGCCACAUUGGGACUGAGAUACGGCCCAGACGCCUACGGGAGGCAGCAGUGGGGAAUAUUGCACAAUGGGCGGAAGCCUGAUGCAGCAACGCCGCGUGCGGGAUGACGGCCUUCGGGUUGUAAACCGCUUUCGACUGUGACGAAGCGUGAGUGACGGUAAUGGGUAAAGAAGCACCGGCUAACUACGUG
rnacentral:rRNA from 1 species